CCUCCGGGGAACCUGCGGAAGGAUCAUUAGUGAAUUAAGGGCAUUUUCCAUUCUCAUGGAUUCCCGAACCCUCACCUUUAUCCAAUUACACCUGUGCACUGUUGGUUAGGUGUCUCCCAUUUAGGAGAUUCAUCUGCCAACGCCAAAUUUAACAAACCCUGAGUUUAUUGAAUGUGAAUUAACUAUGCCUUUAGUUGGGCAGAAAAUUAAUACAACUUUCGACAACGGAUCUCUUGGUUCUCCCAUCGAUGAAGAACGCAGCGAAAUGCGAUAAGUAAUGUGAAUUGCAGAAUUCAGUGAAUCAUCGAAUCUUUGAACGCACCUUGCGCUCCUGGGUAUUCCCAGGAGCAUGCCUGUUUGAGUGUCAUGAAUCCCUCAAAUCCCAAUGUUUUGCAAAACUCAUUGCUUGGAUUUGGUCAUGGGCCGACUUUGCUACUUUAUUGUUAGCUGGCCUUAAAGACAUUAGCUUGGACUUUCGAACCUUUUCAGAAGGGUCUCCAUAUGAUGUGAUAAAUUUACGUCGAUGGGCUAAUGACUCUACUGUUGUUAAUGGUUUUGAAAACGAAUAGUCUAGCUUUCUAACCCGGCGAAGAGUUCCAUCUCUGACCCACUUUUCGUUUAACUCUGGCCUCAAAUCAGGUAGGACUACCCGCUGAACUUAAGCAUAUCAAAGGGAGGAAGGAUCAUUAGUGAAUUAAAGGGAUUUUCAUUCUCUGGAUUCCGAACCCUCACCUUUAUCAAUUACACCUGUGCACUGUUGGUUAGGUGUCUCCAUUUAGGAGAUUCAUCUGCAACGCAAUUUAACAACCUGAGUUUAUUGAAGUGAAUUACUAUGCUUUAGUUGGGCAAAUUAAUACACUUUCACACGAUCUUGGUUCUCAUAUAAAAGCAGAAUGGAUAGUAUGUGAAUGCAAUGUGAAUCUAACUUGAACACUGGUCUGGGUUUCGAGAGGCGUGAAUCAGAAACCACAUGUGUGACGCUGGGAGUGUCGCGACAUGCAUAUGGUAGCUGCUAAGACUAGCUGACUCAGCUUCGAGAGCAUAGAACUGACUCGCUGGAUCCGUUACGGUAACAUAGU
rnacentral:rRNA from 1 species